rnacentral:lncRNA from 1 species
AACAAGCAAGGAAAAUUGGACAUGAUCCAAUAAAGGAAGAAUGGACAUGACCCAAUUAAAAAGAAAUGGGAGAAGUCCAUGAAUAAGAGUCCAAAAACAACAAAGGAAGAAAAAUCCAAAAGAAAAGGAAGGUGGAGAUUUGGGCCAACCUAGCUUAAUUGGGUAAAAUUUCUUUACUCUUCACCAUAAUUUAUUUUGAAAUUGGACUAUAUGGCGGCUAAAUUAUUUUAUUUAAUUAUGCAUUAGUUAAUUGGUGAUAUAAAGUAAAUUUAAGUUACUUAGAAGGUUGAAAUAGGCACUAAAUACCAUAAGUAAGUUACUGGUGUUAAUACUCUAAAG